rnacentral:rRNA from 1 species
AGAUUGAACGCUAGCGGCAUGCCUAACACAUGCAAGUCGAACGGUAACAGGCCCUUCGGGGUGCUGACGAGUGGCGGACGGGUGAGUAAGGCAUCGGAAUCUGCCCUGAUGUGGGGGAGUAACGUAGGGAAACGUUAACGCUAAUACCGCAUACGACCGAGAGGUGAAAGACGGGGGACCGGAAAGGCCUCGCGCAGCAGGAUGAGCCGAUGUCCGAUUAGCUAGUUGGUGGGGUAAAGGGACCCGACCCAACGGCGGACGAUCGGUAGGCUGGUCUGAGAGGAUGGUCAGCCACACUGGGACGUGAGACACGGCCCGACGACUCCUACGGGAGGGCAGC